rnacentral:rRNA from 1 species
AUGGAGACGCUUCCUAUAGACCGUGUCGCUCCUCUGUCUCCUGCCAUGUCCCCUCCUCCUCGUAUCUGUACAGAUGGUUCAACAUGUACUCCUGAUUGUGAUGAUAACUUAAAACCAGCCUUGGGUAUGACAUUUGAUAGUAUGGAAGAUGUUGAGAAUUUUUACAAGGCUUAUGCACACAAUGUUGGAUUUUCAGUCAGAAUUGGGCAGAAAAAGACCAUAGAUGAUGUGGUGUGGAGGCAAUUUCUUUGUUCGAAAGAAGGUUUCCAAACGAAGAAGGAGGAGGAACGCAAGAAGGAUUUGAAGGGAGGGAAGAUAAGAACACAUGCAAGAAAGACUACCAGACAUGGUUGUGAAGCCAUGAUAACUAUCAAGCUUAUGUAGGAUGGCAAAUACUCAAUAUCAGAUUUUCAUGAAGAACACACCCAUCAAUUUGUCACACCCACCAAGCAACAUUUAAUAAAGUCUAAUAGAUAAGUCAGCGAGAAGGCCAAGACCACACCAUUCACAUGUCACACAGCUAGUAUUGGCACAUUUGGAGCCUUUCGAUUGCUUCGUGUUGGUGAGGGUGGAUUUCAGUUUGUGGGGUGCAUGAAGAGAGACUUGCAGAAUUAUCACCAUGACAUGAGAAGUACUUUCAAGGAUACAGAUGCUCAAAUGUUUAUUGACAACCUCAGAAAGAGGAAGCAAAUCAACCCAGGAUUCUUCUUUGAGUAUGUUCUUGAUGAUAAAAAUCAAUUGAAACGCGUGUUUUGGGCAGAUGCAUUUUGUAGAAAGAAUUAUGCUUUAUUUGGAGAAAUGGUGUCUUUUGACUCCACAUAUAACACAAAUCAGUACAAGAUGAUUUUUUGUCCAUUCACGGGAAUAAACCACCAUAUGGGAUCUGUUUUCUAUUUUGCUGCCUUGAUUGUUGAUGAGAACUAAGAGUCGUACAAAUGGGUGUUUGAAACAUUUUUGAAAGCCAUGGAUGGGGCAACACCGAGGCUUAUAGUAACCGAUGAAGAUGCUAGCAUGAAGGCUGCCAUUGAUAUAGUUAUGCCAAACACCGUCCAUAGAUUAUGCAUGUGGCACAUAAUGAGAAAGCUUCCAGAAAAGGUUGGUCCUUCAUUGAAAGAGGAUGAUCAUUUUUACAACUCAGUUAAUGCAUGUGUACGGGGUUCUGAAAGCCCAGCUGAAUUUGAGGCAAAGUGGUCUUCCAUGAUUUCUGAAUUUGGUCUUGAAGAAAAUACAUGGUUUGCUAGGAGAUAUGAAAUUCGUGACUCAUGGAUACCAGCCUACUUUAGAGGUGUAUUCUUGGGUGAAACUCUAAGAACCACUUCGAGGUCAGAGAGUGCUAACUCAUUCUUUAAUCACUUUAUGGGUUACAAGCAUGCUUUGGUGGAGUUUUGGAUUAGGAUUGGUACAACCCUGGAAGAACAACGUCAGAAUGAACUCAAGGCUAAUCAUGAUUGCCUCAACUCCAUGUCUCCACUGAUUACAUCAUGGGAGAUCGAGAAGCAUGCAAGCCUAUACUUCACCCAUGAGGUUUUCAAAGCUUUUCAGAAGGAGGUGCGUAGAUCACUGCUUAAUUGA